CUCAGGUUAAACAGCGCACAAAGCACUUUCAUAAGAAGCACAGACUCCGCAUUGUUUCUUUAAGACAAGCUCUCGAGUAUUCUCGCCCGAGGAGAACACGUCAUCCUUCCGGGAAGUUGAGACUACUGUAAUCCUGAGACUGUCCCUUGUUUUCUAGGUUUGGAGGUGAGCAGUCAAAUCACCCUUUUCCCAAAACAUCACGCGUGUGAAACCAAACGUACAUUGCUGGAAUAAUAAAAGGUCGGGAUCGAUAUUUUGAUUUGCGCUUUCGGUCUGACACACUGCAUUCCAGUCAAACGUUAGUCAUCGAAAAUGCCUGAUGGUUUCUCUCUAGAUGCCAUUAAAUUUACAAAUCUAAUGACAGAGUAGCCUACAGCAUCUGCUAGUAUACCAUGUAGCACACUAGGAACACGGUCGAUACCUUUACAAAAAUAAUUUUAUAUUUUAAUAAUUGUCAUUUUAAUGUAUUAUAAUGUGUUAUUUUAUUUUAGGUUUUACAGUUCUAUCAAUAACUGUAUUAAUAAUAAUAUUUUAGUGAAACUAAGGACAGCAUGGUCAUUUUUGUUAUAUACUGUAGGCUAUAGGAUUAUAUUUUGUGUAUUUGUAUGUAACUAUGCCCCACCCUUUAUAUUUAUACACCAACUGACUGCAGUCAGAAUAAUACAAUACCAAAAAUAUAAACAUCCAUAUCGAAAGUAUUACAGUUAUUUUCUAGAUAACACUGAAACUAAAAUUAAGUAAUUUGUUUGCAUUUAUUUUGUGGCAAGGUGUAGUGAUGAACAUCAAACUCAUUCCUAAACUAACAUUUACACAUAAAAGUAGUAGUAUUUAUGGUAUUUAUCAAGACCCAUAAAUGGGUCACGAGUCUGAUGUAGAAAUAUGGCUUGUACUAAUAUAAUAUUUGGUCCUGUGUUCUGUGUCACUUUUGUUGUUGUUUAAGUAUUUACAAAUUAUUAGUUAAUAAUUUGCAUAUUGUUUGGGCUAUACGCAGUUCAGUUUCAUUAAAAAAAAAAAGUCUUAUUUAUAGAUGUUUUGUUAAGUUGUAUAUGAUAAACCAUUUUUAUCAUAUAUCAGGUUGUCACAUGGUGUCCAAAGUAAAAUCUGGGUAUUGAAGCAAAACAAGUCACUCCAGGUGGUUUAAGGGCUUCACAUCAUUGACUUCAAAAUGACUAAACAGCCUACAUUUCAAGUCUGACGACAUGUGGUUUAUUCUUUUCUAUUUCUAUAUUUAGUAAGCGUUUUGUGUGGGUUGAGAUUAAUAUUUUUCCAACCAGCCUUGUCAGUGGAUAUGGAAUGUACACAAUGGAAUGUACACUUAUUGAACUUGUUUAAUAUAAUAUAAUAUAAUAUAAUAUAAUAUAAUAUAAUAUAAUAUAAUAUAAUAUAAUAUAAUAUAAUUAAUACUUAUUUUUCCUUUUUUAAAUUAAUUUGUAAUGGUAAUAUUACAAGGUACAUUGUCUUAAAUGACUUCGCAGCAACGGGGCCCAAAUAUGUAUAGCAUCACUUGCUCAGUAUAAAUGUUGACACUGCUUUCUCUAAAUAAUAGUUUAUAUAGCUUCACUCUUACAUAUGUGACAUAGACAGCUGUAGGCCUCAUAGUUAUUUAUAAAGUCCCAGUUAAUUCGGUGCUACCUUCACACUGCCCUCACCCUGGUACACGCACCACAGCACUGUGUACAUGUUUACACCGGCUGCGUCCAUAGUGACGGACUCCCGCCCAAAGGACUUUCGUCGCAGACAGUCAAAGUAGGGAAAGCCAGGAUUCCCAGCCCCGUCACAGGCCGUGACCUCAUUUCUCUCUCCAGCAGGCCUCUGUGCUGCGUUUUGUUAUUUCGGUCCUAUGUGCAAACAGCAAGUAGGGUGGGAGUAAAUACCUAAAGGCCAUUCCCCUCUAAAGCAUAAAUGCCUUACGUAAUUCAUAAGGAAACCAAACUGAAUCCCGCUCGGAACGUAGUACAUAGUAAUAGAACAAAUUAGGGAGGACUUCCUCUUUUCGGAGGAACUCAUUUUCCUGUCUUUGGUUUUUUGAAUUCCAUUUAGAAUGAAACUUCUAUGUAUGACAGCGUAAACUACGUUCUGUACUAUCUGCUUCCUGCAGAUGUGAAAGUAAAUUGCUGCUUGUUCUGUGACUAAGGAAGGUUUUUUUUUUUUCUAUUCCACAUCCAGUGAGCAGUACCUCAGGCAAACCUCAUUUUCAUCAUUCAUUUCCCAUUCCUCACUUCUUCAAUUUGCUGUAAAUUCAAAGAACUGGAUUAAUUGGGACAUUUGACUUCUUCCUGGCAUGUAGAACGUAACGCUCUAAUUUCUGGUUUUUUAUUUCAAGCAGGGAAUUGAAGCAACACAGGCCUCCUAUAAAAACUGCCGCACUUAGUCUUUAAGAGCCACGUCAUAUUUAAGAAGUCACAUGACUGCCUGUAAAGGAUCUAGCUGUUAUAAAAUUGAUACGGUGAGCACAGAGCUGCAGGAGAUGCUUCGGCCAAUCAGCUUGCUAAAGUGAGAUGACAUCAUCUGACCGCUCUGUGGUGUGACUACAGUACGCAUCAUUGCAGCAUAGGAUUAAUAGUUAAUGAUAAUCCCUUGAGAUCAGCCAAUCAGAGCGGAGGAGAAGAACAUGGUCAGGGCAUGUCCACAACCUGCAACACAGUGCAGUACUGAAGCAAAAUCCCUGUGCUUUGCCUUACCUGUGACAUUAGUCUGUUUAUAUCUGAAUCAAGGUUAGUGCAUAUUCACACUAACUUUUACAAGAGAUUCAGCACAGGUAAAAUGAUAUAAAAGAUGAUGAUAUAAAAGAUUGUUUACUAAAAAUGCUUAUUCUUAAAUUUCAGAGCACAAUACAGUAGACCAUUUUUCAGCAUGUAUUGUUUUCAAGCCUGCUUACAUGUCAUUAAUCACAAUUUCACAGAAUAUUAACUUGCACAAGCUCAUGAUGAUGAGUUCAGUGUGUGCAGUCUGACAUCAUCAUGAGUCAGAGAGUAACAGGACUCUGGAAAUGCAGGUAGAGGCAGAUGAGUCAUAAUGUCAAAGAACAACAACAAAACAAAAACGCCCUGUGCCAGCUUUUCCUGGUUGUUAUCUCUCUUUUUAUAGAUUAUUAAAAAAUUAUUUAUAUACACUUACUUAAAAAUAAAGGUUCUUUAUUGGCAUUAGUGGUUCCACAAAGAACCUUUACCAUCCAUGGUAACCUUUUCAUUCCACAAAAGGUUCUCAGCAAUUUCCUUGCAAUUAUUAAAGGGAGUUUUAUGUUUAAAAACUAUGUUUAAUAUCAUGCACACUCCAUGAAAUGAGAGUCUAUACAUAUGUAGUAACUAAUUAAAAGGUCUACUUAAUAUGUGUAACUAAUUAAAAGGUCACUUAUUUUACAUGUUGCGAUCACAUGACCAAAAGUGAUUGUUACUGUGUUAAAGUUCAAGUUUAUUUGGACAAAACGAUUGGUUAAUUUCAUAUUUCUUCCUUAUUUAUUGAGGUUGUCUUAGCACUAAACCGAAAUAAAGUUCACACAGAUGUGAAAAUGAUGUUUUAUCCAUUUUAGCAAAGUCAAGCUUCUCUGAGGACUUAUGGGAAAUUAUUGUUGCAGAAGACUGUCAUCUUAUAAACCACGGGGUUUUCAAACUGGGGCCCAGAGACACUCGGUUUAGAGACAAACAGUUUAAAAUAUAUAUAUAUAAAAAAUUUAAUCAUAAAAAUAAGAAAGAAAAAAAUCGAUUCAAAUAUAUAGAUAUAAGAACUAAUGCAUCUAACUGUACAGUGCUAUAAUGAAUAUUGAAUGAACUAAAUGUUUUCCAAAUAAUCAUUUUACAUUUUAGGAUGGGGUCUCUUGCACAAGGAUGAUCAUAUUUAGGGGUCUGUGGCUUCUAAAAGAAUAAAGACCACUGUUAUAAACCAGUUAAACGAAUCAUAUUUUUUCAACACAUUGCAUACUAAAUUGUGAUUUCUACAUUCAUAGCAUGAUUAUUUAAAGGUGAAGUGUGUUAUUUCUGCACAACACCAGCAGGUUUCAAAUCCUCACCUUAUUCAUAAAUAUUUGGUUAUAUUCUUUGUCAUGGACUGUUCUUAAAGCAUUUGGCCAUGUUAUACAAGUAUUUUGUUCACACAACAAGAAUAAGUUUUAGCCCAGAAAUGAACCAUAAAUUG
rnacentral:lncRNA from 1 species